AAAAAAUUUUUAAAAUAUUUAAUGGGGGUUAAAGUAUUUUUAAAAAAAAAAUUUUUAUAUUUAUAGUAAAUUAGUAUUGUGAAAGAAUUUUGAAAUAAUUUAAAUAUUAAUUAAUAAUAAAGUAAUUUUUAUUUAGUGUAUCUUGUGUAUCAGAGUUUAUUAAUAAAAUUUUUUAGUUUAAAAAAUUCUCGAAUUUAAAAGAGAUAAUUAAUUAAUAAAGUUAUUGUAGCAUAAAUAUUUUAAAUAAUUAAUUUGAAAUGAAAUGUUAAUCGUUUUUAAAUAUAUCUAGUUUUUUUAGAAAAAAAUUUAAUUUUAAAUUACUUAAAAAAAAAAUUAAUUAAUUAAUUUUUUUUUUAAGUAAUUUUAUAUUUUAAGGGAUAAUCUUUAAUUUAAAUUUAUAUAAUGAAAAAAUUUUUUUUUGAAAUUUAUAUAAUUUAUAUUGUUAAAAAAUUAUAAUUUAUUAUAAAUAAUUUCAUUAAAAAUAAGAUUUAAUUUAAAUUUAUAUUUUUAUAAAAAAAAAUUUUUUAAUUUUUUAAUAAUUGUUAUAAUGAUAAAAUUAGUAUAUAAAAUUAUUUAAAAUAUAUUUUUUAAGUAAAUUAAUUUAAAGGAAUUCGGCAAAUUAUUAUGUUCACUUGUUUAUCAAAAACAUGUCUUUUUGAAUUUAAUAUAAAGUCUAGUCUGCCCACUGAUUUUUAAUUAAAGGGCUGCAGUAUUUUGACUGUACAAAGGUAGCAUAAUCAAUAGUCAUUUAAUUGAUGACUUGUAUGAAAGAUUGGAUGAAAUAUAUACUGUCUCUGAAUUAAAUUAUAAAAAUUAAUUUUUUAGUUAAAAAGCUAAAAUAAUAUAAAAAGACGAGAAGACCCUAUAGAGUUUUAUAUAUAAUUAUAAUUAAGAUUAUUUAUAAAAUUAAAAAUUAAAAUUAUUUUAUAUAUUUUGUUGGGGUGACAGAAAAAUAUAAUAAACUUUUUUAUAUAUUAUAAACAUAAAUAAGUGAAUAAAUGAUCCAGUUUUAUUGAUUAUUAGAAAAAAUUACCUUAGGGAUAACAGCGUAAUUUUUUUUUUUAGUUCAUAUAAAAAAAAGAGUUUGCGACCUCGAUGUUGGAUUAAGAUAAAAUUUAAAUGCAGAAGUUUAAAAUUUUUGAUCUGUUCGAUCAUUAAAAUCUUACAUGAUCUGAGUUCAAACCGGUGUAAGCCAGGUUGGUUUCUAUCUUUUAUAAGAAAAAAUAUUUUAGUACGAAAGGAUUAAAUAUUUAAAUUAAAUUUAGUUAUUGAAUAUUAUUAAAAAAAUUUUAUAAAAAU
rnacentral:rRNA from 1 species